UAGGUUCACCACAUCUAUGUCUGGUUUUCUCUAAUGUCUGCAUUCUUAUAUUCAUAGUAUUUUUCAUUUCUCAUAUGAUAAUAUCUUAAUAUAAUGUCAAAAAUAAGUUUAGUGUUCAAAUUUAUGAGAAAAUUUUUAUGAGAUUAUGAACAUUUGUCAACUGAUACAAACCUUGAAAUAGGAUGAAGAGGAUGUUUAGUGCAUUCCCGAUAUCUUAACGAAGUCCAAUAGGUAUAUUAUUAUUAAACUAUGUGGGGUUUCAGGACUUAUUUCUGUUUCAUAAUUGAGGUCGAAUGUUUGGAUCGGCUUAGGCUAAGAACUCAAAUUCUUCCUCCUUGUAUACAUCUAAGUAAAUCUGGCUUUUGGUAUGGUUUCUUGAGUAGACAAGUGCUCUGAUGGGUUUUGUAGGUUCUCUUGUGAUGGUGUUGGCGGUGUUUUGAGUAUGUGGCAAAGAUGGUAGGUUAAAGUCAAUCAAGAAGUCUAUUUUUAUUUUCAAAUAUAAACUCUCCGUGAAGAUGAAGGUUGAUGAAAUAUGAGCUCUUGUUCAACAUAGGUGACAUCUAAGAUAUAGAAUUUAUAUGUGGGUGGAUGUUGACAGUUGUACCUUUUUUUAGAAGAGGAGUACCUUAUUAAAACGUUUUGAAAUAAAGAAUUUAUCUUUUUAUUUUUAAUAUUUGAAAUUUAUACGUUAGACAUUAGAUAUAGAUCAAUUCUAUCUUGUAAAUUAUCUCUACUUUAUUUUCUCAAUUGAGCCUUCAGUCUUUCUUUUGUGCUCCUUAAUUUAAUGACCAAAGAAUUGUAAUAUGCAUUUUAAGGCCCUGUGAUCAAUUUUUCCCAUUUAAUGAAAAUGAAUAUGAAUGAAAGACCAUAUGGUUUGUAGCAUUUAUUUCUUGAUAAAACUUGAAGAGUGUUUUUAGAGGACUUUCGAAAUCUAGAACACUAGAGAGUAAACGAUUAAUAAUUUAGGUGGUUGUAGGGACUGCUUCGCUCCAAUAUUGUUUUUGGACAUUGUUUUGGAAGAGGAAAGCUUUGGUGGUGGGUAGAAGAUGACUAUUCUUGUAUUUCACUACAUUUUAUUGUGGAGUGUGUAAAUAAGAUUCAUGAAGAUCAUUUCUUGGUGAAAAAAUGAUAAGAGUAUGUAAGUAAUAAAGUUUUUUGCUUUGUCAGGGUGAAAUUUCUUAGAUGGGUUCCAAAUUGAGCUUUUAUUAUAUUACCAAACUGGUAUGUGGCUGACAUAUAAUUUGGAUUUGGGUAAGAAAAGUCAUGUGAUUCUAGUGCACUUAGUAAUAAAUGACAAACUAUCUAGUUCCAGAAAUGUUAGGAAUGUGGGAUAGUCUNNN
rnacentral:lncRNA from 1 species